CUGUUGUAAGAUUCAGCAGGGUCUUUAUCUUUUUAAAAGUAGCACAUUUUUUGUUUUCUUUAUUUUGCAGUAAACAUAAAAGAGAGCAAGAUAAUUCUCGAUCUUCAUCGUCUUCAGCAUCGCCUUCUUCUCCCAGUUCUCGAGAAGAAAAGGAGAGUAAGAAGGAAAGAGAAGAAGAAUUUAAAACUCACCAUGAAAUGAAAGAAUACUCAGGCUUUGCAGGAGUUAGCCGACCACGAGGAACCUUUUUUCGAAUUAGAGGCAGAGGAAGAGCCAGAGGAGUUUUUGCUGGGACAAAUACUGGUCCAAACAACUCAAAUACUACUUUUCAAAAGAGACCGAAGGAAGAGGAAUGGGAUCCAGAAUAUACCCCAAAGAGCAAGAAGUACUUCUUGCAUGACGACAGAGAUGAUGGUGUGGAUUAUUGGGCCAAAAGAGGAAGAGGUCGUGGUACUUUUCAACGUGGCAGAGGGCGCUUUAACUUCAAAAAAUCAGGUAGCAGUCCUAAAUGGACUCAUGACAAAUACCAAGGGGAUGGGAUUGUUGAAGAUGAAGAAGAGACCAUGGAAAAU
rnacentral:sRNA from 1 species